UUACUGCACUAGGGGUGCCCAUUAUGGCUGAGAUGCAAGCGCAAGCUUCGAUCCCUUAUAACUCGAUCAGGUUAGGACCUGCGUGAGGAAGUGCGGCGCAUUUCUG
rfam:Planomicrobium sp. ES2 genome assembly, contig: CONTIG000001